rnacentral:tRNA from 1 species
GGAUCCGUGGCGCAAUGGUAGCGCGUCUGACUCCAGAUUAGAAGGUUGCGUGUUCACGUCGGGUUCA